rnacentral:rRNA from 1 species
AUUGAACGCUGGCGGCAUGCUUUACACAUGCAAGUCGAACGGCAGCGCGGGCUUCGGCCUGGCGGCGAGUGGCGAACGGGUGAGUAAUGCAUCGGAACGUGCCCAGUAGUGGGGGAUAGCCUGGCGAAAGCCGGAUUAAUACCGCAUACGACCUGAGGGUGAAAGCGGGGGACCGAAAGGCCUCGCGCUAUUGGAUGGGCCGAUGUCGGAUUAGCUAGUUGGUGGGGUAAAGGCUUACCAAGGCGACGAUCCGUAGCUGGUCUGAGAGGACGACCAGCCACACUGGGACUGAGACACGGCCCAGACUCCUACGGGAGGCAGCAGUGGGGAAUUUUGGACAAUGGGGGCAACCCUGAUCCAGCCAUGCCGCGUGCGGGAAGAAGGCCUUCGGGUUGUAAACCGCUUUUGUUCGGGAAGAAAACCUCUGGGCUAAUACCCCGGGGGGAUGACGGUACCGGAAGAAUAAGCACCGGCUAACUACGUG